GUCUUAAAGAUGCAGUCACACUAAGAACCAGUGAAUAUUUGCUUCACCUCUUCUUCACUUAAAUGGGAAAUUACAAAAAGAGUUCAAGAUUUACAGGUGUUUUUCCACCUCAACAAUCUCUCCUGCUGCAACUGACAACAGAAAACGACCAGAUACAGCUGUAAUUGAACUUGCAGCGUUUCUUCUAAACUGGAGUCUCUCAGUGAUGGUGAGAAAGAUGUCACGGCUGAUUUCACUAUCAACAACUCAGCUUGUGCCAGCUGCUGUGCUUGACUAGACCAGGACCAGGUCCAGAUCCACCAACGGCAUCUUCUCACGCAAAGACAAAUGAGCAGCUGUCAAGCUGUCAGCUCCACAGCGGUGACCUCCAUCUACAGAAAUGCUGUCAGAUGGGGCCUCUUGGUCAUCAAGUUUAAAAAGGCGCCAGUGUUUUGCUUUUGCCCGCUUUUCCCCUUUUGCGAAUGCACUCGAUACUCCACAACUUCCUGUUGGACGAGUGACAAAGCGCCCCAGACUAAAAGAAAAUAAAAAAAUCUAUUUAAACCUAAAUGGGGCAAAAAGGAAGGGAGACAUUGUGUAUAUGAUGGCAAAGAAAAGCAUGCUAUAAUACAACGCAAUUUGAUUAAACAUCUAUUAGAUUCCCUCUCAAGGCCAUUAAUUUUAGGAAUGACUUUUAUUAACAAAUAAGUACAGAUGCAGUCAGCUUUCUACCUACUGUAGACAUAAAAUCUCAUGUUCAAUUAAAUGAAGAAAGAGCCUCUGUGUAGUCUGUGAAAUGUUCAGUGUCUGUCAUGAUGCAUUUACCAACCCAAAUAUGAUGCUAUGCUUUAAGCACAAGCUACUCAGAAAACCCAAAAAAGAAUGGUUUGACAUUUUUGGGAAAUGCGCUUUCUUGUCCAGAGUUAGACGAGAAAAUGGAUACCACUCUUAUGUCAAUAUUUUCAACAGGAAGCAGGAGCUAGCAGCUGUUAGCUUAGCUUAGCACAAAGACCAACAGGAUCAGCUCACCUGGACCUGUGCUCAGGUAACAAAAUCCAGGUACCACCAAAAUUUACUGAGCUUUAGAAGUGCUAGUAGAAGGAGUUUUUUAAAUCUUCAGACAGAGCCAUGCUAGCUGCCUCACUUGUUUAAUUCCAAGCUAAGCUAAUCACAUCUUGGCUGUAGCUUAAUACUGAACAGAUAGGAGAGUGGUAUCGAUCGCCUCAUCUGACUCAACAGCAGGAAAGUGAAUGAGUGUAUUUACCAAAAUGUAAAGUAUUCCGUUAAGUACAAGCGCCUUCAGACCUAUGAAAAAACUAAUAGCAGAUGUUGUAAACAUGUAUUCAGUCAGCAUUACAAUUCAGUGAUUCUUGUCAACCUAUCUUAUGAUUCAAGUUCCCCCUCAAAACCACUGGCUUGAUAACCCUUUUCACAUCAUAUUCACAUUUUUUCCAUUGUGUCAAUUACAAUACAAUUGCUAAUAUAAAAAUAUUGAUUAUAGCUGCUCUAAAGAAUGAAUGGUUAAAUAUGAACAUAGCAAAAUCAUUGUAAAAGUGUUAUAACU